UACGGAGGGUGCAAGCGUUAUCCGGAUUCACUGGGUUUAAAGGGUGCGUAGGCGGGUUGGUAAGUCCGUGGUGAAAUCUCCAAGCUUAACUUGGAAACUGCCGUGGAUACUAUCAAUCUUGAAUAUAGUGGAGGUGAGCGGAAUAUGUCAUGUAGCGGUGAAAUGCUUAGAUAUGACAUAGAACACCCAUUGCGAAGGCAGCUCGCUACACUAUUAUUGACGCUGAGGCACGAAAGCGUGGGGGAUCAAACAGG
rnacentral:rRNA from 1 species